UGAGGGAUAUUGGUCAAUGGGCGCAAGCCUGAACCAGCGACGCCGCGUGGGUGAAGAAGGUCUUCGGAUCGUAAAGCCUUUUUCCCACUGAAGAGGAAGGACGGUAGGUGGGGAAGAAGUCUCGGCUAACUACGUGCCAGCAGCCGCGGUAAAACGUAGGAGACAAGCGUUAUCCGGAGUUACUGGGCGUAAAGGGCGUGCAGGUGGCGUCUUAAGUCUGUUGUGAAAGCGCCUGGCUUAACCGGGCGAGGCCAAUGGAGACUGAGAGGCUGGAGGACGGCGGAGGGGUGUGGAAUUCCGGGUGUAGUGGUGAAAUGCGUAGAGAUCCGGAGGAACACCAGAGGCGAAGGCGGCACUCUAAGCCGUACCUGACACUGAGACGCGACAGCACGGGGAGCAAACG
rnacentral:rRNA from 1 species